GGUGCUCACUGGACAGCUUGUCUCGGGCCUUCGCGGCGUCUCUCUCUUCCUCUCACGCACGCACUCGUCACAUUUUGUCUACGUUAACACACAUAAAGCCACACACGUCUUCAUCCCACCCCCUUUUCCCUCGCUCCCCAUAUCCUUCACAGACUGUUCGCGGACACGCCCUCACUCACCCACGCCUGCACACCCUUUUCUGUUCUCGCUGGUUAUUGUGGUCGCACUCUCUGUCGUUCGCGCGACCUGCCCCCUCGUAAUCUCGUCUUUCCCUUUCGCCGGGGCUCGACUCUCCGCAGCUGCCGCCGCAGCGUCGUCCAUACGACUCAGCCACCACCCACCACCAACCAGAAUAGCAAAAUGAGGCCCGAUUACAUGGGUGUGAUGUUCCUGUGCACCAGCGUGAUGUCCUUCAACGCUGGCAUAUGGCAGAUCUUCCGCAGGGGCCAGAAGAAGCAGCUGAUCGAGAAUCAUAAGAACGUUGAGAAGAGCCCGCUGACAGACUUGCCGCCAGAGAACGCGACGGUGAACGAGUGCGAGUACCGCCGAGUGAAGCUCAAUGGGUCGUUCGACAACGAAGGGUCAUGCCUAGUCGGCCCGCGCUCUAUCCCGUCGUACAAGGGCGCCGCGAACGAGGACGAGAGCCGCGGCGGGUUCCUUGUCAUGACACCCUUCGAGAUCGCCGACACUGGUAGGUUUGUGAUGGUGAACCGCGGCUGGGUGCCGAUCGACGCCGGAAAGCACCGCACGAUGCUGAGACAGUACAUCGGUGAGGGCUUCGCCCCUGCCCAAGUCCGCGGCAUUCUGCGGAAGGAGGAGUUCUUAGGCGGGUCUCUUUUUUGGGGUCCAAGCUCAGAAAACGAGGGCCCGGUGGCGGCGGACCUGUCGUGGCUGGUGGUGCGGCCGUGGAACAUGGCCAUGGCCUACUACCGCCGCCGGUGGGGUGCGGACCACCUCAAGGAGAGUGCCGAGAAGCACGGUGCUCAUCACUACUACGUGGAGAUGCUCGAGGACUUCUCGGGCGACGACCAGCGCAUUGUGCGCGGUCGCGCGUGGCCCCGUCGCCGCGAGGUGGACGAGGUCACCUAUGUGCACCUCACCCCCGUAGUGCACUCCAUGUACAUCGUCUUUUGGUUCUCUAUCACCGCCGGCUCCCUGUAUGGAGUGCUGCGGUGCUGGCGGCGCCAGAAGGACAUCUUUGCGCUGCGCAAGUACGUGAAUAAGCAGUCGAUGCAGCUGGAGACGCGUCGGCAAGCGGAGGCGCAGGCGUACAUGAAGGCAGUAGAGGAGGUGGAGCGAUUGAAGAGGAUCAGCACUGCUGCUGCCGCGGCGCAGAUCGACAUUGGGAAUCCUGCCACCGUCACGCACUGUGAGGGAACGGCGUCGAAGGAGAAGGAUGACUCACAACCAAGCAAGUAGCGCACCUUGGUCGAGGCUGCCUCACAGCCUUAAUGUCUGUCUGACCGGAGUGUUGCUUGUGCACCUGUUGGUGGGCUCGCUGCCCUUGCUGUGGUUCGAGGUCGGGGGCGGUGUACGCGUUUGGCUUUGUAGCGUACGUAUGCGCGUUUGUGGGUAUGCGUGGCGUUGUCGCUCCCCCACCUCUCUCUCCCCUGUCGCGGUCUCUUCUGCGGUUGACUCAAAUUGUUGCCUGGGCGUCGUGUGUUCUUUCCAUGGACGAUGGCCCUCCCCAGAGCGCUUCCUAUCCUUGCCCUGCCUACUUCUGACCUUCCCUUUCUUUGCGCACUGUUGCCUUCCCUCAUCCUCCUCCAUCGAGAAGAGGGAAAGCUCAGCAUCUCUGCCGUCGACCGGACCAUGGACCAACACACGCACAGAUGCACUCUCUUCUGCCAAGUCACUGCAACACUACACCUACACACACGCAUAGAGAAAUGCGCUGCGUCUCGUUCCUUUCUCCCG
rnacentral:misc_RNA from 1 species